UUCAAAUAUAUCGUGCAUCGAAUUUUUUUUUAUCUAAAAUACUUUGAACGAACUUCCACGAUUUUUUAUAUUUCUCAAUCAUCUCGGUGCAUAAGAAAUUACAGCAUAACAAACUUAUGAUCCAACCUUGAAAAAUGGCCAUGGAACAUUUUCCUCCACGAGACAGCAAUAAUUUCCAAGCGAAGCUUUUCAGGAUCUUCGUUAAACGUUCUGAAGUGGCGUUCCCGUUAGAGGAAUCCAGCUGGCUAUGAGGAAGCAAUGUCCUUUGUCUUGUCAGACGCGUUUCCCCGUUCAAAGCUUCGGACUUCUCGCGUCCUGGGGAAUUCAUAGGUUUGUUAUGCGCGCGAUUCCCUCUACCGAUGCAAUCUCGCCGCGUUUUAUGUUCUUGUGCCUGCCACUAGGGGGAAAAACGAAUCGCGCGAAACGUGGCCUGAACCGAUGGCGAUCAAGUAAAAACGUGGAAACGUGGAAACGUGUACCAGGCUGCUACUGUACCUAUUUUCCUGUUUUUUUUGUUCGCGAUUCGUUUUCCAGCGGUUUUCGAUCGUGAACGAUUCUGCGGCUUCCGGAAGAGGAAGGAGACGUAUUCAAGAUGUCCGACGAUAAGUUCGUUUUGUGGUAAAGUUACUUGAUAGUUUAUUUUUGAGUAUCGCUUUCAAAGUAUCUUUGUUGGAAAUGUGCAUACGUAAUUUUGAUUAUUAAUUUCAAAAUAAUUUUUGAAAUUGGUUUUGUGAAAUGGCCUUUCAUCAUUCAAAUAUCUUUUUUCAAAUAAUGAAAAUAUUGGAAUGAAAGUAUUUUGAUUAUGAUAUCAAGAAUAAUACAGCUCGAAAUUGUAAAAUUAUUUAUCAAGAAGAAAAUUUGAAGAUGAUUCUAUCAUAUUCAAUAAAGUAGUUAACUUUAUUGUCGAUUUGAUUCGAUGUGCAUAAUAUGAAGAUAAGCAAUGAAGUUUAAUAAAAUAUAUACAGAGUGUCUCAUAAUUUAUAAUGAAAAUAUGAUCAUAAAAUAUCUCUUAAUUGAUAUAAAUAUUGCUGUAAUAAACUUAUUCUCAUUUAGCAUCGUGGAAAUCAACGCUUUAUUUAUUUAAUUUAAAAAAAAAAAGGCUCGAAUGCAUUGCUAGAAAUACCAUAAAUAUCAAACCUCUCAAGGCUUUCCUCUUUUUACAAGCCAUAGAACGUGAAUUUUUCUUCCCAGACUCGACUGUUCUCACGUCAUUGAAAAAAUGAAAAAAAUAAAAAAGCAGGAAACUCGACAGAAAUUUCUCGAACAUAUAUAAUACGAAGAAAAAAGAAAUUUCACAUAGAUGUCGAUCUUACGUAAAACAUGGAUACAAAUCUAUUCCUCGAUGCAAAGGAUAGUUUAAUGUCACUGUUUCCAUCUUCGACGUGAAAGCAUUUGGAUGAGACAAAUUUAUGAAACGUCAGACAUGAUCAUUGUACACGGGGCCAAUGAAAUUCCAACGGGUUGCAUAAGGAUUUCCUGGAUGGAGGAUCACUGGUGAAAGCUGAGACAACGUCCUCAUUAUGACCUUUUAACGUUAUAUUGGAUUAUUUUUAUGAUAAUUACCACCAUUUGUGUAUGGUAUGAUGGUACGUGUACGUGGACGUUGAAUGAAUUUAAGAGAAAUUAUAGAUCCAAUGUGCUAUAAUAUAUGUAAGUUUGUAGUACGGGAUACAAAGGAUAAUGGUAGCGGAAAAGGAUAAUAGUAGUGUUUCGAUAUGCAAGAUAUUCGAAAUUAUAUGGGGUAUAGCGUGGGACAUCUAAUUUGCAUGUCUUGAAUAACUAUGUAUUAAAUGUUCACUGUAUUAAAUUGUGUAUAAAGCAUUUAAUUUAA